rnacentral:rRNA from 1 species
UACGAAGGGGGCUAGCGUUGUUCGGAAUUACUGGGCGUAAAGCGCACGUAGGCGGACUAUUAAGUCAGGGGUGAAAUCCCGGGGCUCAACCCCGGAACUGCCUUUGAUACUGGUAGUCUCGAGUCCGGAAGAGGUGAGUGGAAUUCCGAGUGUAGAGGUGAAAUUCGUAGAUAUUCGGAGGAACACCAGUGGCGAAGGCGGCUUUCUGGCCUGUUCUUGACGCUGAGGCGCGAAAGCCAGGGGAGCAAACGGG